GGAAGUAAAAGUCGCAACAAGGUUUCCGUAGGUGGACCUGCGGAAGGAUCAUUAAUGAGUUGUCAUGGGGUUCGAUGCUGGCAGCCAGUUUUUGGAUGCAUGUGCUUGCCCUAACAAUCAUCUUCUUCCAAACACCUGUGCACAUUUUUGAGGGAGUCUUGAGUUGGUUGCCGCUCUUGGGUGAUUUUCUCACAUUCCCUUAAAUCAUUAUACGCUAUUAACAAUGUUGAACGUGCUCUGUGCCGCAAGGCCAUUAAUAUAAUACAACUUUUAACAACGGAUCUCUUGGCUCCC
rnacentral:misc_RNA from 1 species